GUAAUUCUAGCCGUUCACAAAUACACCAUCUCUCUCCCUACAGGCACAAGUUAGAAUCGUACCUCUCUGCACACUGGAAAUUAGGUGUGGUCACAGGACUUGCUCUGGCAAAUGAGGUGUGGGUGGGAAGUAACAUGGGUCACUACUGGGUAGAAGGCUUAAGAGCCACUGUUUGGUUAUGCUUUUCUUUCUCCCACAGUGACCGGCAGCAUUCCAGGUAACAGGUACUCCAAUGACUGGACAUUGAGGCUGAGGAUAUCCAUUCACAGCAGAACUCUGCCAACCGCUGGACACAUGGCACGAGUCUUCAAAAUGUCUAAAACACUAAAGAAGCAAGCUCCAUGAAAACCAUGAAAGCUGUUAUUGCCCCUGUUUUUAUAGGAUCCAGCACCCUUUGCGGGACAUUCAAGUUCCUUUGGGAAACCAGAGUAAGGUGCCAGCUCUCUCUGGCUGUGCCAACCCAAGAACAUGGUCCCAAUUCUCCUUAUUCCUUCAUCCCUUUGCUACACCAGGCACUGUGAUGACGACAGCUUCCUUUCAGGCCCUCCCUCCAGGUGUUCUGCAAGGACUCUUCCUGCUACCAACUCUGUGCAGUAGCCCUCCAGACUUACCCAGCAAUGCUCCCCUCUACCUACUCACUUUUACAACUUCAGUUUAAGUUCAGUUCAGUGAACUAGAACUUCAGGGGUCUGGGCUCUAGAAGCAGCUCCCAUGUGAUCCUGACCAAGUCAUACCACUUUCCUGCACCUUGGUGCCUACCUCCAUUUAACAAAGGGCACUGUGAGGUUCUUGGGUUUUCCACAAUUCUAAAGCACAAAUCCAAGAUGGCAACUCUCAGAAGCUCAUCUCCAGUCAGCAUUAACCCCAAACACCCAGCAGUGUGCAGGACACUAACCCUUGGCUGUAUCACUGAAUAAUAUCAACCUUCUUCUCUAUUUCCAUUAAUCGUACCAGCUAUUCUUUUGGACCCCCAAAGUUAUUUGAGCACAUUUCAAAUCGUAUGUUUUGCCAUGUCACAGUCCUAUCAACUUGCCUUCCACCAGUCUCUCAAAUAAAGUGCCUUCCUUGGAUUCCCA